CCUACGGGGUGCAGCAGUGGGGGAUAUUGCACAAUGGGGGAAACCCUGAUGCAGCGACGCCGCGUGAGUGAAGAAGUAUUUCGGUAUGUAAAGCUCUAUCAGCCGGGAAGAAAAUGACAGUACCUGACCAAGAAGCCCCGGCUAACUACGUGCCAGCAGCCGCGGUAAUACGUAGGGGGCAAGCGUUAAUCGGAUUUACUGGGUGUAAAGGGAGGGUAGACGGGUGUGUAAGUCUGGAGUGAAAGCCCGGGGGCCAACCCCCGGACUGCGUUGGAAACUGUGGAACUGGAGUAGAGGAGGGGCAGGCGGAAUGCCGGGUGUAGCGGUGAAAGGCGUAGAUAUCAGGAGGAACACCGGCGGCGAAGGCGGCCUGCCGGACUGAAACUGACGUUGAGGCUCGAAAGCGUGGGGAGCGAACAGGAUUAGAUACCCUGGUAGUC
rnacentral:rRNA from 1 species